rnacentral:rRNA from 1 species
GAUGAACGCUAGCGGCAGGCCUAAUACAUGCAAGUCGAACGGUGUCUUCGGACAUAGUGGCGCACGGGUGCGUAACACGUAUGCAACCUACCUUACAUUGGGGGAUAGCCUUUCGAAAGGGAGAUUAAUGCCGCAUAAGACAGUAGCUGGGCAUCCAGCAGCUGUUAAAGAUUUAUCGAUGUAAGCUGGGCAUGCGUCCAAUUAGCUAGUUGGUGAGGUAACGGCUCACCAAGGCUAUGAUUGGUAGGGGAACUGAGAGGUCAAUCCCCCACACUGGCACUGAGAUACGGGCCAGACUCCUACGGGAGGCAGCAGUAGGGAAUAUUGGGCAAUGGACGCAAGUCUGACCCAGCCAUGCCGCGUGCAGGAUGAAGGCGUUAUGCGUUGUAAACUGCUUUUAUACAGGAAGAAACGACUCUUGCGAGAGGCAUUGACGGUACUGUAUGAAUAAGCACCGGCU